CCGCGACCCCAGGUCAGGCGGGACUACCCGCUUAGUUUAAGCAUAUC
rnacentral:rRNA from 1 species